GAUGAACGCUGGCGGCGUGCCUAAUACAUGCAAGUAGAACGCUGAAGCUUGGUGCUUGCACCGAGCGGAUGAGUUGCGAACGGGUGAGUAACGCGUAGGUAACCUGCCUCUUAGCGGGGGAUAACUAUUGGAAACGAUAGCUAAUACCGCAUAAAAGACGAUAUCGCAUGAUAUUGAUUUGAAAGGUGCAAUUGCAUCACUAAGAGAUGGACCUGCGUUGUAUUAGCUAGUUGGUGAGGUAACGGCUCACCAAGGCGACGAUACAUAGCCGACCUGAGAGGGUGAUCGGCCACACUGGGACUGAGACACGGCCCAGACUCCUACGGGAGGCAGCAGUAGGGAAUCUUCGGCAAUGGGGGCAACCCUGACCGAGCAACGCCGCGUGAGUGAAGAAGGUUUUCGGAUCGUAAAGCUCUGUUGUAAGAGAAGAACGAGUGUGAGAGUGGAAAGUUCACACUGUGACGGUAACUUACCAGAAAGGGACGGCUAACUACGUGCCAGCAGCCGCGGUAAUACGUAGGUCCCGAGCGUUAUCCGGAUUUAUUGGGCGUAAAGCGAGCGCAGGCGGUUAGAUAAGUCUGAAGUUAAAGGCUGUGGCUUAACCAUAGUACGCUUUGGAAACUGUUUAACUUGAGUGCAGAAGGGGAGAGUGGAAUUCCAUGUGUAGCGGUGAAAAUGCGUAGAUAUAUGGGAGGAACACCNNGNGGCGAAANNCGGCUCUCUGGGUCUGUAACCUGACGCUNNAGGCUCGAAANNCGUGGGGGAGCAAACNNNG
rnacentral:rRNA from 1 species